GUGGGGAAUAUUGGACAAUGGGCGAAAGCCUGAUCCAGCCAUGCCGCGUGUGUGAAGAAGGUCUUCGGAUUGUAAAGCACUUUAAGUUGGGAGGAAGGGCAGUAAGUUAAUACCUUACUGUUUUGACGUUACCGACAGAAUAAGCACCGGCUAACUUCGUGCCAGCAGCCGCGGUAAUACGAAGGGUGCAAGCGUUAAUCGGAAUUACUGGGCGUAAAGCGCGCGUAGGUGGUUUUGUAAGUUGGAGGUGAAAUCCCCGGGCUCAACCUGGGAACUGCCUCCAAAACUGCAUGACUAGAGUACGGUAGAGGGUAGUGGAAUUUCCUGUGUAGCGGUGAAAUGCGUAGAUAUAGGAAGGAACACCAGUGGCGAAGGCGACUACCUGGACUGAUACUGACACUGAGGUGCGAAAGCGUGGGGAGCAAACAGGAUUAGAAACCCUUGUAGUCC
rnacentral:rRNA from 1 species